AUCAGAAUCACUUGGAGAGCUUGAUAAAACACAAAUUGUUGGGCUCUACCCCCAGAGUUUCUGACUCAGUAGGUCUGGCAUGAAGUUUGAGAAUUUGCAUUUCUGACAAGUUCGCAGGGGGUGCUGAU
rnacentral:miRNA from 1 species